rnacentral:tRNA from 1 species
GGAAGGUUGCCAGAGUGGACGAAUGGGACGGUCUCGAAAACCGUUGUGGUGUUUCGCAUCACCAUGGGUUCGAAUCCCAUACCUUCCGCCA